rnacentral:rRNA from 1 species
UACGUAGGUCGCAAGCGUUGUCCGGAUUUACUGGGCGUAAAGCGCGCGCAGGCGGCUGGUCAAGUCCGAUGUGAAAUCUCCCGGCUCAACUGGGAAACUGCAUUGGAAACUGAUCGGCUUGAAGGUGGGAGAGGGUAGUGGAAUUCCCGGUGUAGUGGUGAAAUGCGUAGAUAUCGGGAGGAACACCAGUGGCGAAGGCGACUACUUGGCCCAUUCUUGACGCUGAGGCGCGAAAGCUAGGGGAGCGAACGGG